rnacentral:rRNA from 1 species
UGCGAUACAGGGUGACAGCCCCGUACACAAAAAUGCACAUAUUGUGAGCUUGAUGAGUAGGGCGGGACACGUGGUAUCCUGUCUGAAUAUGGGGGGACCAUCCUCCAAGGCUAAAUACUCCUGACUGACCGAUAGUGAACCAGUACCGUGAGGGAAAGGCGAAAAGAACCCCGGCGAGGGGAGUGAAAAAGAACCUGAAACCGUGUACGUACAAGCAGUGGGAGCACGCUUAGGCGUGUGACUGCGUACCUUUUGUAUAAUGGGUCAGCGACUUAUGUUCUGUAGCAAGGUUAACCGAAUAGGGGAGCCGAAGGGAAACCGAGUCUUAACUGGGCGUUAAGUUGCAGGGUAUAGACCCGAAACCCGGUGAUCUAGCCAUGGGCAGGUUGAAGGUUGGGUAACACUAACUGGAGGACCGAACCGACUAAUGUUGAAAAAUUAGCGGAUGACUUGUGGCUGGGGGUGAAAGGCCAAUCAAACCGGGAGAUAGCUGGUUCUCCCCGAAAGCUAUUUAGGUAGCGCCUCGUGAAUUCAUCUCCGGGGGUAGAGCACUGUUUCGGCAAGGGGGUCAUCCCGACUUACCAACCCGAUGCAAACUGCGAAUACCGGAGAAUGUUAUCACGGGAGACACACGGCGGGUGCUAACGUCCGUCGUGAAGAGGGAAACAACCCAGACCGCCAGCUAAGGUCCCAAAGUCAUGGUUAAGUGGGAAACGAUGUGGGAAGGCCCAGACAGCCAGGAUGUUGGCUUAGAAGCAGCCAUCAUUUAAAGAAAGCGUAAUAGCUCACUGGUCGAGUCGGCCUGCGCGGAAGAUGUAACGGGGCUAAACCAU